UAUAUUAAAUUGUGCUUCGUUUUCUUUCAGUCUUCCUGAUUUCAUCUCAGGGUCCAUAGACUCCGACUAGCCGACUCAAUGGUGGUUCACCGGUCACUCCCUCGUCGCCUCUCUUUUUUUCCGGCGACCUAUGUGCUCUCCGAAACCUCUCUCCAUCCGCGAAAGAUAGGCGUCCGAUUGAAGCAUUUCCUUCCUUGAGUAUCGUCGGAUCUUGUAUCUCACUCGCAGCGAUUCGGACCUCCAUGGCCGUCAGAGGCGUUGAUUUCAAGUGGUCAGUGCGUUUCUUCCUGGUCCGUCUAGUGGAACUGUGCUAGGUUUCUGAUCUCGAAUUGUGGUUUCUGGUUUUUGUUUUUUUGGAUCGAAGUGAGUAUCCUUUAUUAGGGUUUCGAUUUCAAUCUCUGCAAUUCGUUUUCCGUUUCGGAUUAUCUGUUUGUGUGGUUUUCCUUAAUAGGAUUUCUGAUAGAGUAAUUGUUGCGAUUCAUUGGAAGUGGUACCAUACUUGUACAUAUCCGUUGCAUAUAUGGAUCGUGGUGAAUGGUGUGUAACUGAAUUGGAACUAUAGACUAGAAAAAUUGCACACUGCCGGUGCAAGGCAAACAAAGGCAGACGAUACCACUGAUGAUGAUUUACCAAGUACCUUGGAGCGCCAAUUUAUAGAUGCAGUAGCCUCUGAUUCAGCACACUCCAAUGAUCCAAAGCAUUUUGGUCAAUCUCCUCUAGCUGCUUAUCAACCAGCUUUUGAUUGGGAAAGUGAAAGAUCAUUGAUAUGCGGUCAAAUGGUUCCAGAAACUCCAAUAUCUCACGGCCUGAAGAUCUCAGUGAAAGUUCUGUCCCUAUCAUUUCAAGCGGGACUAGUUGCCAUUUUAUGGUACAAUUUGCUUAUAUAAUAGGGAGAGAAGAGAAAAGUUGUCAGAGGAUUUCUAUUUUCGUCAUGCACCAACUGAAACACAGUGUAAGAAUUUUAUAUAUUUUUGGCACCACUUUAAUGGUCAUCCUUUGUUCUUUAAGUAAAUUUCUAGCACACAUCAUGACUGACAAAUUUACUACUGCUCCGUGUGAACUCUUUUGGUGAAGAUUUCUUUUGAACCCCGUGGAAUCUUCUAGUUAGAUGCUCCAUCAUCAUCAGUUUGUCUUCUGAUCCAGUUAGAGAAGCAUGCCACAGAAGAAGGCGGGGUUAUGUCGACGCCUACAGUUUAUUCUUGUAAAGAACCGGCUCUAUGAUGCCCGACUUCUUUAUGGGAAAUGGUUGGCAUGUCGCAUCAUAUCAAGUUAUAAUAAGCCCCUUCAAGUACUCAUGUAAUCAAUCUGAAAGCAAUUCUUAUCUAGCUAGUAUGUUCCAUAUUUGAAAACUAGUUUAAUUAUACUAUGAUUUUGUAAUAUGAAGUUAUUUAAUUGAUAUAA